AAGUCGUAACAAGGUAACCGUAGGUGAACCUGCGGUUGGAUCAUUAAUAAAUUUUAAAAAACUUGUGGAAAAAUUUUUGUUAAGAGUUAAUAGCUCUUUCAAAUUUUUUUCCUCAAACAAAUUGUGAACUGUUGAUUUUAAUAAGACUUGGAAUUUUAAUUCUUUUUUUUAUUAAGAUUAUUUAACAUUUUAAAUUAUAUAUAUAUGUCUUAAAGCUAAAUUUUAUUAAAAAUUAAAUUUUAAAACAACUUUUGACAACGGAUCUCUAGGCUCUCA
rnacentral:misc_RNA from 1 species